rnacentral:tRNA from 1 species
GAGGGUAUAGGUCAGUGGUAGAGUGCAUGCCUAGCAUUCACGAGGUCCUGGGUUCAAUCCCCAGUACCUCCA